rnacentral:lncRNA from 7 species
UUACACCCCCCUUGGGCUAAUUGCCCCCCCAUAGGGUUAUUAUUCCCACCAUCAGGGUUAAUUACCCCCCCUUGGGCUAAUUGCCCCCCCAUAUGGUUAAUUACCCCCCCUUGGACUAAUUGCCCCCCCAUAGGGUUAUUAUUCCCCCUAUCAGGGUUAAUUACCCCCCCCCCUUUGGCUAAUUGCCCCCCCCCAUAGGUUAUUCCCCCCCCCAUCGGGGUUAAUUACCCCCCCUUGGGCUAAUUGCCCCCCAUAGGGUUAAUUACCCCCCCUUGGGCUAAUUGCCCCCCAUAGGGUUAAUUACCCCCCCCUUGGGCUAAUUGCCCCCCCAUAGGGUUAAUUACCCCCCUUGGGCUAAUUGCCCCCCAUAGGGUUAAUUACCCCCUCCCUUGGGCUAAUUGCCCCCCAUAGGGUUAUUAUUCCCCCUAUCAGGGUUAAUGACCCCCUCCUCGGGCUAAUUACCCCCCUAUGGGCUAAUUGUCCCCCAUAGGGUUAAUUACCCCCUCCUUUGGCUAAUUGCCCCCCCCCCAUAGGGUUAUUCCCCCCCCCAUCGGAGUUAAUUACCCCCCUUGGGCUAAUUGCCCCCCCAUAGGGUUAAUUACCCCCCCUUGAGCUAAUUGCCCUCCCAUAGGGUUAUUAUUCCCCCUGUCAGGGUUAAUUACCCCCCCCCUCUGGCUAAUUGCCCCCCCAUAGGGUUAAUUACCCCCCCUUGGACUAAUUGCCCCCCCAUAGGGUUAUUAUUCCCCUAUCAGGGUUAAUUACCCCCCCCCUUUGGCUAAUUGCCCCCCCCAUAGGGUUAUUCCCCCCCCAUCAGGGUUAAUUACCCCCCCUUGGGCUAAUUGCCCCCCAUAGGGUUAAUUACCCCCCCCUUGGGCCAAUUGCCCCCCAUCAGGGUUAAUUACCCCCCCCCCUUGGGCUAAUUGCCCCCCAUAGGGUUAAUUACCCCCCCCCUUGGGCUAAUUGCCCCCCCAUAGGGUUAUUAUUCCCCCUAUCAGGGUUAAUUACCCCCUCCUCGGGCUAAUUACCCCCCUAUUGGGCUAAUUGUCCCCCAUAGGGUUAAUUACCCCCCCCCUUUGGCUAAUUGCCCCCCCCAUAGAGUUAUUCCCCCCCCCAUCGGGGUUAAUUACCCCCCUUGGGCUAAUUGCCCCCCAUAGGGUUAAUUACCCCCCCCCUUGGGCUAAUUGCCCCCCAUAGGGUUAAUUACCCCCCCCUUGGGCUAAUUGCCCCCCCAUAGGGUUAAUUACCCCCCCUUGGGCUAAUUGCCCCCCAUAGGGUUAAUUACCCCCCUCCCUUGGGCUAAUUGCCCCCCCAUAGGGUUAUUAUUCCCCCUAUCAGGGUUAAUGACCCCCCUCCUCGGGCUAAUUACCCCCCUAUGGGCUAAUUGUCCCCCAUAGGGUUAAUUACCCCCUCCUUUGGCUAAUUGCCCCCCCCCAUAGGGUUAUUCCCCCCCCCAUCGGAGUUAAUUACCCCCCCUUGGGCUAAUUGCCCCCCCAUAGGGUUAAUUACCCCCCCCUUGAGCUAAUUGCCCUCCCAUAGGGUUAUUAUUCCCCCUGUCAGGGUUAAUUACCCCCCCCUCUGGCUAAUUGCCUCCCCAUAGGGUUAAUUACCCCCCCUUGGACUAAUUGCCCCCCCCAUAGGGUUAUUAUUCCCCCUAUCAGGGUUAAUUACCCCCCCCCCUUUGGCUAAUUGCCCCCCCCCAUAGGGUUAUUCCCCCCCCCAUCAGGGUUAAUUACCCCCCCUUGGGCUAAUUGCCCCCCAUAGGGUUAAUUACCCCCCCCCUUGGGCCAAUUGCCCCCCAUAGGGUUAAUUACCCCCCCCCUUGGGCUAAUUGCCCCCCAUAGGGUUAAUUACCCCCCCCCUUGGGCUAAUUGCCCCCCCAUAGGGUUAUUAUUCCCCUAUCAGGGUUAAUUACCCCUCCUCGGGCUAAUUACCCCCUAUUGGGCUAAUUGUCCCCCAUAGGGUUAAUUACCCCCCCCCCUUUGGCUAAUUGCCCCCCCCAUAGAGUUAUUCCCCCCCCAUCGGGGUUAAUUACCCCCCCUUGGGCUAAUUGCCCCCCAUAGGGUUAAUUACCCCCUCCCUUGGGCUAAUUGCCCCCCCAUAGGGUUAUUAUUCCCCCUAUCAGGGUUAAUGACCCCCCUCCUCGGGCUAAUUACCCCCCUAUUGGGCUAAUUGCCCCAUAGUGCCCCAAUUAGUGCCCCCCCCCCCGCUAUCUGCCCCCCCCCCCCCCCGC